rnacentral:rRNA from 1 species
GGGUUGUGAGGUUAAGCGACUAAGCGUACACGGUGGAUGCCCUGGCAGUCAGAGGCGAUGAAGGACGUGCUAAUCUGCGAUAAGCGUCGGUAAGGUGAUAUGAACCGUUAUAACCGGCGAUUUCCGAAUGGGGAAACCCAGUGUGUUUCGACACACUAUCAUUAACUGAAUCCAUAGGUUAAUGAGGCGAACCGGGGGAACUGAAACAUCUAAGUACCCCGAGGAAAAGAAAUCAACCGAGAUUCCCCCAGUAGCGGCGAGCGAACGGGGAGCAGCCCAGAGCCUGAAUCAGUAUGUGUGUUAGUGGAAGCGUCUGGAAAGGCGCGCGAUACAGGGUGACAGCCCCGUACACAAAAAUGCACAUAUUGUGAGCUCGAUGAGUAGGGCGGGACACGUGGUAUCCUGUCUGAAUAUGGGGGGACCAUCCUCCAAGGCUAAAUACUCCUGACUGACCGAUAGUGAACCAGUACCGUGAGGGAAAGGCGAAAAGAACCCCGGCGAGGGGAGUGAAAAAGAACCUGAAACCGUGUACGUACAAGCAGUGGGAGCACGCUUAGGCGUGUGACUGCGUACCUUUUGUAUAAUGGGUCAGCGACUUAUAUUCUGUAGCAAGGUUAACCGAAUAGGGGAGCCGAAGGGAAACCGAGUCUUAACUGGGCGUUAAGUUGCAGGGUAUAGACCCGAAACCCGGUGAUCUAGCCAUGGGCAGGUUGAAGGUUGGGUAACACUAACUGGAGGACCGAACCGACUAAUGUUGAAAAAUUAGCGGAUGACUUGUGGCUGGGGGUGAAAGGCCAAUCAAACCGGGAGAUAGCUGGUUCUCCCCGAAAGCUAUUUAGGUAGCGCCUCGUGAAUUCAUCUCCGGGGGUAGAGCACUGUUUCGGCAAGGGGGUCAUCCCGACUUACCAACCCGAUGCAAACUGCGAAUACCGGAGAAUGUUAUCACGGGAGACACACGGCGGGUGCUAACGUCCGUCGUGAAGAGGGAAACAACCCAGACCGCCAGCUAAGGUCCCAAAGUCAUGGUUAAGUGGGAAACGAUGUGGGAAGGCCCAGACAGCCAGGAUGUUGGCUUAGAAGCAGCCAUCAUUUAAAGAAAGCGUAAUAGCUCACUGGUCGAGUCGGCCUGCGCGGAAGAUGUAACGGGGCUAAACCAUGCACCGAAGCUGCGGCAGCGACACUAUGUGUUGUUGGGUAGGGGAGCGUUCUGUAAGCCUGUGAAGGUGUGCUGUGAGGCAUGCUGGAGGUAUCAGAAGUGCGAAUGCUGACAUAAGUAACGAUAAAGCGGGUGAAAAGCCCGCUCGCCGGAAGACCAAGGGUUCCUGUCCAACGUUAAUCGGGGCAGGGUGAGUCGACCCCUAAGGCGAGGCCGAAAGGCGUAGUCGAUGGGAAACAGGUUAAUAUUCCUGUACUUGGUGUUACUGCGAAGGGGGGACGGAGAAGGCUAUGUUGGCCGGGCGACGGUUGUCCCGGUUUAAGCGUGUAGGCUGGUUUUCCAGGCAAAUCCGGAAAAUCAAGGCUGAGGCGUGAUGACGAGGCACUACGGUGCUGAAGCAACAAAUGCCCUGCUUCCAGGAAAAGCCUCUAAGCAUCAGGUAACAUCAAAUCGUACCCCAAACCGACACAGGUGGUCAGGUAGAGAAUACCAAGGCGCUUGAGAGAACUCGGGUGAAGGAACUAGGCAAAAUGGUGCCGUAACUUCGGGAGAAGGCACGCUGAUAUGUAGGUGAAGUCCCUCGCGGAUGGAGCUGAAAUCAGUCGAAGAUACCAGCUGGCUGCAACUGUUUAUUAAAAACACAGCACUGUGCAAACACGAAAGUGGACGUAUACGGUGUGACGCCUGCCCGGUGCCGGAAGGUUAAUUGAUGGGGUUAGCCGCAAGGCGAAGCUCUUGAUCGAAGCCCCGGUAAACGGCGGCCGUAACUAUAACGGUCCUAAGGUAGCGAAAUUCCUUGUCGGGUAAGUUCCGACCUGCACGAAUGGCGUAAUGAUGGCCAGGCUGUCUCCACCCGAGACUCAGUGAAAUUGAACUCGCUGUGAAGAUGCAGUGUACCCGCGGCAAGACGGAAAGACCCCGUGAACCUUUACUAUAGCUUGACACUGAACAUUGAGCCUUGAUGUGUAGGAUAGGUGGGAGGCUUUGAAGUGUGGACGCCAGUCUGCAUGGAGCCGACCUUGAAAUACCACCCUUUAAUGUUUGAUGUUCUAACGUUGACCCGUAAUCCGGGUUGCGGACAGUGUCUGGUGGGUAGUUUGACUGGGGCGGUCUCCUCCUAAAGAGUAACGGAGGAGCACGAAGGUUGGCUAAUCCUGGUCGGACAUCAGGAGGUUAGUGCAAUGGCAUAAGCCAGCUUGACUGCGAGCGUGACGGCGCGAGCAGGUGCGAAAGCAGGUCAUAGUGAUCCGGUGGUUCUGAAUGGAAGGGCCAUCGCUCAACGGAUAAAAGGUACUCCGGGGAUAACAGGCUGAUACCGCCCAAGAGUUCAUAUCGACGGCGGUGUUUGGCACCUCGAUGUCGGCUCAUCACAUCCUGGGGCUGAAGUAGGUCCCAAGGGUAUGGCUGUUCGCCAUUUAAAGUGGUACGCGAGCUGGGUUUAGAACGUCGUGAGACAGUUCGGUCCCUAUCUGCCGUGGGCGCUGGAGAACUGAGGGGGGCUGCUCCUAGUACGAGAGGACCGGAGUGGACGCAUCACUGGUGUUCGGGUUGUCAUGCCAAUGGCACUGCCCGGUAGCUAAAUGCGGAAGAGAUAAGUGCUGAAAGCAUCUAAGCACGAAACUUGCCCCGAGAUGAGUUCUCCCUGACCCUUUAAGGGUCCUGAAGGAACGUUGAAGACGACGACGUUGAUAGGCCGGGUGUGUAAGCGCAGCGAUGCGUUGAGCUAACCGGUACUAAUGAACCGUGAGGCUUAACCUUACAACGCCGAAGGUGUUU